rnacentral:lncRNA from 1 species
CAUGCAUACUUCACCAUACCCAGAAUAUUCCACACAUAUAUCAAAAUGGUGUGCUAGAAAAUAAAUCAAAGUAAGGAUCUAAAUACACAAGGUACCAUGGUGAUCUCAGGUCAAAGGAUCAUAUGCACCACUCCCACUAGAGAAUCAUCUGUUGACAUGCUGUAAGGCUCCAUCAAAUAUUCUUCAUGUGGGUUAGUUCAGUGAACUCAUUCUCUAGUGAGCACCUACAUCCUUGUAUUAGUAUCACCACAUAAGUGAUUGUGAGA